GCGAGCGGCGGGGAAAGCAGGGCACGAAUACAACGCCGGGAGGGGAGGUCGGGCGCUGCUUUCCAGGAGGACCAAGCCGUGGCGCAAGCGUUAGAGCUUUACUGAGUGUAAAAAGCAGGAUUUUUAGACCAGGGACGCGCUCAACUUGGUUGCACAGGCUCAUUGGGAGUUCCAGACCAGUGCCAUUUCCCAUCUUAUUGAUACUGCAACUAAACUCAUCAGUGCUGGUGCAGCCACGGUGGGAAUAGCUGGCUUGGGAGCCGGGGCUGGCACAGUAUUUGGCAGUUUAACCAUUGGUUAUGCCAGUUUCCUAAACUACGUAGCCCUAAGCAAAGACUAACCCACAGAUGAUGAACAACAGAUCUAACAUCUUGGAAAGCAAGGUGUGGCCCGAUGAAUAUCUCCAUGUGUGUUCUGUAAAUUCUGCCAUUACUUGCUUUGGAUUCAGUUCACCCUCGAUUCUCUCUGGCAAAUUUCAAAGCUGCCUCUUAUACUAGUAGGAUUUUACCUUACAGAUCUUCCUCUGUGUCCUACCUGCAGGAACCCAUCUCUAAAGUAGCAGCUGUUUUCUUAUGCUGUCCUGGGAUUUGGCUUUUCAGAGGUCAUGGGACUGUUCUUUCUGAUGGUGGCAUUCCUCAUCCUGUUUGCCAUGUAACUGCCUUGGAGCUAUGCCGCCGUCACCCUGUGAUUCGUGUCAUCUUAGGUUUGAGAGUGCCUCUCCUGCCAGAGUGUUAUAUACUUAAACAAGAUUAUUCUAAAUAAACAAGAUUCACAUUUUA